UUUUUCGCCUUACGUUUACGAGACGAAGCCUGAGUCGAACCACCAGAACCACCGGAACCACCAGCUGCUCCAACCAAAGAAGCCCCAACUGUAUUCACGUUGGCAGAAGAAGACUGCGAAUCGGAAGAUGUCGUGACAGCUUCUUUAAUUUCUUCACGACGUAGAAUAUCAUUUCCUCAGAAAAGGCACAUAAUAUACGAUUUCUCAACAAAUCUUGGUCGGUCACAACAUCAAGAUUCUUAAGAUUGGAGGCUAUCGAACGAAUCAACUCAAUAUUUUUUCGGCUACCUGUGGGAGACGAAGCUUCCUGAAUACCAUCCAAUUUUCGGUACCUAUCUCCUAUAUGCGAGGCGCCUCGACGAAAUUUCAAAAAACCACUUGACCGGGAUGCUCAAAAAUUUCAAACGAAAGCAAAUCAAAAUUCAAAAAAUUCAAAACGUUGAAGUCAAUUUGUUGGGUGGUAUUUCGUACGCAUCCUAUACGAUUACCUAUAACCGAACAGAUCGUUGCUGUGGCCAACGAUAGGAGAGAAACUAUGUUCGGCGACGAAUUUCCGGCCAGAGGUCAAACAAAACAUCAAAAAAAAAGGAAUAUUACGUCAUACGCAAUAUUAAAAUCGGAUCGACGGGAAGUAAUAAAUCAUGGUUUCAAAUAUCAGCGUUUCUAUACGUAUCUGGAAUGCGUGUACUUUUCUCCGUAUUUCUAAUGUUACAGAGAUGACGCAUCGUCAACGAAAACGAAAAGUAGCAACGUGAAGAUAAACAAGGAGAAGGUUUUCUAAGAAAGCGGUCCGGACCUCAAACGAAUUCUUCACGGCAAUAAAAGGGACCUGUAGUCAGCAACCUUGAACGAACGCCACUUCGCACCCUACCCAUACGAAGUUCCAGGCGGCGUUAUUAAGGUACAGAUUUAUGGAACAUAAAAACCAAAGCGUAACGCUCGUGUGCAAAGGAACCACGAAGCAACGGCGAAGGUCAAAUUGUCAAAGAUGAUGCAAUUUCAAGUCGUUUCGUCGAAGAUUUUCCUACACGAAAUUCCUAAUGUAUGGCGAGCUUCUUGCUCUAACUUUUGUCAAAAUUUAUCGAAUUUGUCGACAUUUUUUGGAGUUUUUUGUUUUUUAAUGAAACGUAGGUCGUGCCAAUUGUGUUCUACUUGACUGUUUAGCUCCCUGAGGUCAUUGAACCACGCUCUGCUACCAUAUAAAGAAUUUCCCUGCGAAUAUGUUGAAUUUUUUAAAAGAUAGAAAAGAAGACAGACGAAAAUUUCGAACCCUAAACUAACUAACGAACAAAAGAACGAAUUUGAGCAUACAGUCACAAGUAGGUAAAACACAAAUAGGUACACGUUACGUAUAUUUUCAUUUUAAUUAAACAUAAACUCCAAUAUAAAAUAUCGAUUAAAAAAUAUGAGUAAAAAUACAUCGAAGUAAAAAAUAAGUGCAUAAGAAUAAUGAUGCGUUGAAAUAAAAUGUAAACGGUGCGUCAAAUAUAAUAUCAAUGUAUUUCACGAGCUCCCACGAAUUUUAGCGGCGAUUGUUCGUUGAACCUGAAAUUUAAAAUUGGGUCAGAAACGGCGUUCUGAGUAAGCCUUUUAAAACUACCUAUCUAACUAUUUUCUAUUUUCUACCUAUUUCAAAAUUCCUAACCUACGAGGCACGAAUCGUAACUUAACAGACCAUAAGAAAAGACAAAGUCGAGACGAAUAUUCAAAAUAUGCAAAAUAAACCCAAACGAACAAGACAACCAAAUCGAACGUACGAAAUUACGAAACCAAAACGAAUAGCCAAAACCAAAAUCAAAAUAGGCAAAAAAUAUACGAAGCUAAAAUUUGAAAUAUGCAAGUACACUAUUACGAAAUUUGAAAGUUCAAAAGACUUACGGGGUCAAUCAACAGGUGAUCUUCUUCUCCUUCGCCGUCUCCUUCGGAUUCAUGAGGAGAUAGAGGAUUCUGCAAGUCGUCCAUCGCGUAAACGAAAGUUCGAACUUUGAAUAUAAAAAUCUCGGCUCGAAAUAAUAAAGGUACAACUUAGCGACGAUGUAUGAUAUUUUAAACUUCAAAGAACGGCAAUAUAGAAACGAAUAAGUGUGUAUUUAUUUUCCAGAAGAUCGAAGAUCCAGCUCUUAGAGCUGGAGAAAUGGUCGUAGGUAUAUUUCCCCUCCGAUGGUCGACUCACAGGGUUCCCCUUUCGAUAGCUCAAUGGUCAUUGGACGAUUUGUAAUUAAAAUGCUUCAUUUAUUUUUUAUGAUUUUUUGUCGAAUUCGCAUUUGUCAACAUCCAGCGGACCAUGGGCGCGGGGGGAAGGAGGAGGCGUAGUCGCGAAGCGUACGCCGAAGCGUUCGCGUUCGAAUCACCUAAUUGAUUCAGUCGUUCACUCUGUGAGAAUCACAGAGUUGAAAAUCGAACAAUUCAGAUUUCUCGAUUUUCAACACGGGCUCUAUUACUUCGGCUUCGUCGGCGACAAUGAAGAUAGCAGUCCAUGUAUAUAUAAUAUAGUCAAAGUAUGUGCUACAAAAUUCACAAACACAAAUAUUUACAUAAAAAGCAGAGAAAUGAUACAAAAAUUCAAAAAUAAAUCGAAAUUCGUAAUUACGCGAGAAUUACGGUAAAAACACGCGCUAAGGUGCAUAUCAACUGGUUCGACGCAAAGCCAAAAAUGCGCAACUCAUAAAAAGCUUUGCCGGUGUGAUAACGAAUGUUUUCCAACAGGAGAUCGAUGAACUUUCCUUCUGGAGUAAUUAACAGGUACUUUUUAAUUAAUUACGCGUUCCAAAUCGUAUUUGUAGAUGUUAAACUAAUCAAGGGUGCUCUUCUUUUCCAGCAGCAACUUUCCCGGAUUCAAUCGGCGUUGAAAUAAGUUCACUGGAACCGAACGGAAAUGACUGUUUUGACUCAACUCAGCAUCAAAUGAUGCUGUAUCAACUCCAGUCACGUUCCAGGGAUUCUCUGUUCUCAAAUCCUAAUCAUAACCGGUGAACCUUUCACCUCAUCGCAUAGGAUAAUGCGCUCCAGCUACCUUUCCUGACGGCGAACGCCAUUCCAUCAACAACAACACUUGGGGAGCCGUUCUUCUUCUUUUUGCGAUGGACCAGCCAUCAGAGAUGUUAAAACUCGAGCUCGCUAAAUCCAUAUUGAACAGAGAUGCCGGAAAAUUGCUUCGAUGACUGGAAUUUAUCAGAGAAGUUACAGCCAGCUGAUGUUUUUCAAACUGGAAGUUUUUCAAAGUCGAGAUUCGAAGCUGGAACCAGAAUCCUUUUUUCUCAUCUCUGCUGAAUUAAGUACCCCGUUUCUCAUCUCUUUUUACGCGUACAAAGUGUUAUCUUUAGUUCUAACUCGUGUCGCGUUCGUUUUCUCUCGUGUUUGUGUUGAUUCAGUGCCGCGUUAUCGUCACGGACAGCUAGCCACUCGUUGCUACACCCACACACAGCUGGGAAUGUGUCGCUAUUCCCACGGACAGCUGGGAACAUUUGGCUAUGCUCACUGACAGCUGGCCACGUGCGAUUUUUCCAAGUUCGAAAGUUGCGAUUUCUCUCAUUUUUUCGCAACUAGAAACCUUCUCGCCCCUCUCUCGACCUAUUAUCGAACCCGGAUUUUGAACUUCUCUAUUUUUUUAUGAAAAUUCUUCGUUCAAAAAUUCCUUAACGCACACUCACGCAUUUUUUCAACUUCUCUGUUAGGAAAAAUUUACAAAUAUUUACACAAAUUUCAGAACUAAUUGUCAGAGUUAUAAAAUAAAUUAGUCCAUAUUAUCAACAAAAAUAUCUAUUCCGAGUGCAACUUGAAAAAAUACAAAGUCAAGAAAAAUAAAUUAUCUCACCAUUUAAAUAAAUAACAACAAAUACAACAAAGCUUAGCUCCACAUCGACCGUUUUGCACCUCUCUUUUCACCUGCGACCGCUUCGGAUAUCAUCGGUCAAUUUCAUGAGACCUAGGGUGAGCUCAAAGUGCUGCUCUUUGGAGCAGUAUUCUGCGCCCCUAAUUGCCCCCUUGGGUGGGCAUCUAUUAAUGAUGUUUUCUGCGUCGCGCAGGUAGUACAGGGUCCGCCAACGAAGUGUAUCACAUUUGUUUUUCAAAUAGAUCGGAAACACUGAUAACUACAACGCUGGUAAACGCAUCAUUUGAUAGUCAAAACUGCACGUUUUUUUUUGGUAAAAAUUUCAUUUCUGCUGAUUCACUUGUAAGAAUGCCUGAAUGGAAUGAACAACAUUACAGUCAUCACAUACAGAGUGGCUAAAAAGUUUGUUUCGAUUUUCACAUUUCAAAAAGUUUUAGUUUUUUGCCAAAAAAUCAAAAACUAAGCAUCCUAGAAAAAAACUAACGACAUUAUGUCGAUUGGAAAUUUAAUUCUCUACAACUUCCAUCGACUUCAUUUUUUCGUAGAACGCUUCGUUUCGCCUCCAGAUCGAUUUUUAUGAGCUCAGUUUGCAAAUUUUUCAAAAGUUCAUUUCAAAAAGUUUUAGUUUUUUGCCAAAAAAUCAAAAACUAAGCAUCCUAGAAAAAAACUAACGACAUUAUGUCGAUUGGAAAUUUAAUUCUCUACAAAUUUCUUUGACUACAUUUUUUCGUAGAGUGCUUCGUUCCGCCUCCAGACCAACUUUUAUGAUACGCAGUUUGCAAAUUUUUGAAAUGAAUUUUUGAAAAAUUUGCAAACUGCGUUACAUAACAAUCGGUCUGGAGGCGGAAAAAAGCACUCUAUGGAAAAAUGAAGUCGAGGAAAAUGGUAGAGAAUUAAAUUUCCAAUCGACAUAAUGUCAUUAGUUUUUUUCUAGGAUGCUUAGUUUUUGAUUUUUUGGCAAAAAACUAAAACUUUUUGCAAUGAACUUUUGAAAAAUUUUGCAAAAUAAGCUCUUUUGUUAAUUCCAUUCAGGCAUCGUUACAAGUGAAUCAGCAGAAAUGAAAGUUUUACCAAAAAAAAAAUGUGCAGUUUUGGCUAUCAAAUGAUGUGUUUACCAGCAUUGUAGCUAUCAGUGUUGCCGAUUUAUUUGAAAAACAAAUGUGAUACACUUCGUUGGCGGACCCUGUAUAUCGCUCCAUGGUAAUACGGACUCGCCUCAUAUCGCAGGAAUUCAUUAACUUUUCGGCGUUUGGAUGAACAGCCUUCAUAUGUUGCUAUAGGCAGUAGUAUUAGCUUCUCUACUCCCUUUUUCUCAAUGGUUUUGAGCAACUCUUUUAUAUUUUUGCAACAGGCCAAAAUUGUGCGAUUUGCGACGUCAUCUUGUCCCACUGCCAGGACCAUCAAUCGCGGUACCUUUCUCAUCUCUCGCAAAGUCGAUUCGAGAUAUCCUGCAGGUAUGGUUAUCCCUGUAUAUCGCGAGUGGGUCAAUGACCUUCGCACCGUCUUCUCCAGGUAUACGUUAUCUCGAAUCACCCCGUAUAAUAUUGGUAUUUCAUAUAUUUAGCCUCUUCUUGCGGCACUCUCCAAUUCCUCUUCAGCCCUUCAUUGAAGAUAAUCUCUGUUUUAUUGUGUAUCGUUACAGGUAAAUAGACCUUCGUUUGUUCAGGUAGGACCGUCUUCAUGGUCUUCACGUGCUUCGGAUUCUGGAUAUGCCAUGGUCGCAAAUCGAGCACCCUGCUCACCGGAAUUUUCUCACUUCUCUGGCUUUCUCGUCGCCGGAAUUUUUCUCUCAAACGCUGUGCCGGUGAUGGACCGCUGAUCAUGCGCUGAGACGGAUGCUGAGCACCAUCUCGAUGGCUGAUGGACGCAGGUUGCGGCUCAACUCGUCCUUGUUUCUGCUCCUCGCAAACCGCAUCGCCCUCGUGCUGUUGGACAGCUGACUGCGGCUCGGCUUGCUCGACUACCGGAUGCUGAAUCUUCUCUUUUGGCACUGCCAACGGCUUGUCUCGAGGAAGCUGAGUCUUCUGAAGCUCUUCGUGGACGUGCUGAAGAAUCGCCGCCUCGCUGACUGGAUGACUUAGCUUCGGUAUCCGGAUUGCAGCUCGAUCAAUUUUCACCGGCGUCGGGUUUUUUACCGUCUCUUGCGGCAGUUUCGGGAUUACUACUGCGCACUUGGUGCCAUACUCUUUGAGCUUGUCGAAUUUUACCGCAGAAUCAGGCUGGAUCUUCAGUGGCACGAGCGUAAUGGUCACCUCGCCGUUGAGUAACAUUGGCUUCUUUUCGUGUUUCCACGAUGCCUCGCGUUCCUGCUCAUCGUCUGAAGAAAUGACUACAGGUACCAACACCGCUGGCGUCGAAAUUUUGUAGCUCGUGCACUCUUUGGAAAAUACUUCGUGCUCGCAGCCAUUAACCGUGCACACCUGCCACGUAUUAUCAUCUUCGGCAGCUUUCGUAAUCAAUUUGAAACACUCUCAGUGGUACAUAUGCUCGCAGCUGAGCGUGCGAAUAAGCUGCUGCGUUUCCAACAUCUCUCUGCUGCAUACUGAGCACUGAAAACUCUGUUGUUUAUGUGGAAAACACAAUCAGGACAAAUUCGAGCAUAAUAAGUACCAAUUCUCUGCUUCGAGCUCGUGUUCACGUUCGAUUAAUGAUUACAGCAUGAACCAACCCCACGAGGGCGAAUUUCGCCAUUUCCAGCCAUUCUGGAGGCUCCAUGGAGACCUUUUCAUUCGAUAAAAAUGUUAUUAAAAAUAUUGAUACGUAUUUGAUGUCAAACUGUUGUUUUGAAAAAUUACUACCUUUGUUUAAAAAAGUGGCCCGGCCACUACAAAAGCAACAAUAAUACCUAAUUAAAACUUUCGAUGAAAAAUUUUUUCACGCGCAUUUACAUAUUCAAUAGUUUUAAUUGCUACUUUCAUAAUUUAGCAUUUUUAAUUUACAUACUAUGUACCUCAUUUCGCGUCUUAUGAUUGUUAAUUAAUCAUCAUCGAUAACAGUAAUUAGAAUGAAAUUAAAAUUUACAAUAAGGAGGGUCAGGGUAUCGGAGUUCAUUGUAUGACCCAUAAGAGCGCACAUCUUGUGUUGCGACCGCAACACCUGACCCCCGACGUGGGAGCCACUGAUAAACGGAUCUCACCUUGAAAAUUUCGCUAAAAAGCAAACAAACGAUAGUAAAGUUCGAUGAACUACCUUUUUCAUUUCGAUAAGCACCCAUAAAAGGUAAAGCUGCCGUACGCAUUUCGACAGUUGAUCAGUUGAGUGUUAUUGCGCGAUAUAUUGUUAAAAAUUACUACGUAAUAAUCAAAAUGUUCGCCUUACCAAUUUGUUUAACGGUUUUAUUAGUGUCGUUGACGGGAGGGAAUUGUUGUUUUUGCAGUGGCCGGGCCACUUUUUUGAACCAAGGGACAAAUUUUUCAUUUCAAGUUCAAUUAUUUUAUGAGAAAUCUGGAACCCCAGAUCAGACUCUUUUUAUUAAACCGAACAGGAGUUCGGUAAUUGAAUUUGCGUACGGUACCUUAGUAACGUACCUUUUCGGCCAACCCAGCGCAAUAUUUCAUAAGAGGAUCAGAAAAGGCGAAGCAAUCUCACAAUUCCUUCUGGACCAGACUCGCGUCCACCUGUUUACGAGAGCAAACGAGUGUUGGAUAAUCAAAGGUAAUUUCACCAAGCAAACUAUCGAAGAUGGGUUUGACGCUUGCAGCCAGUACAGAUCUAUAACGACUAGAGAAGAAAAGGCCGCAAACGCCGGAAAAUAUGAUGGGAAUGAUGAUCAACCGAAUAAGUGAAAUGUGAAUAGCUGUAUAAAAAUAAAUAUAGUUAAAAUAACGUUAUCCGAAUCAAGAGACAAUUUUUUCUGUAAUUUAUACACGUAAUUAUUGUCAAAUUAUUAUGUGUAAUAAAUCGAUUUCCACGAAAAA